rnacentral:rRNA from 1 species
UACGUAGGGUGCGAGCGUUAAUCGGAAUUACUGGGCGUAAAGCGUGCGCAGGCGGUUCGUUAUGUCCGAUGUGAAAGCCCCGAGCUCAACUUGGGAAUGGCAUUGGAAACUGGCGGGCUGGAGUGUGGCAGAGGGGGGUGGAAUUCCACGUGUAGCAGUGAAAUGCGUAGAGAUGUGGAGGAACACCGAUGGCGAAGGCAGCCCCCUGGGCCAACACUGGCGCUCAGGCACGAAAGCGUGGGGAGCAAACAGG